UGGGGAAUAUUGCGCAAUGAACGAAAGUUUGACGCAGCGACGCCGCGUGAGGGACGAAGGUCUUCGGAUCGUAAACCUCUGUCAGAAGGGAAGAAGUGUAGGGGUAGUAACUGACCUCUACUUGACGGUACCUUCAAAGGAAGCACCGGCUAACUCCGUGCCAGCAGCCGCGGUAAUACGGAGGGUGCGAGCGUUAAUCGGAAUUACUGGGCGUAAAGCGCGCGUAGGCGGCUUUGUAAGUCAGGGGUGAAAUCCCACGGCUCAACCGUGGCAUUGCCUUUGAUACUGCAGAGCUUGAGUUCGGGAGAGGGUGGUGGAAUUCCAGGUGUAGGAGUGAAAUCCGUAGAGAUCUGGAGGAACAUCAGUGGCGAAGGCGACCACCUGGCCCGAUACUGACGCU
rnacentral:rRNA from 1 species